rnacentral:lncRNA from 1 species
UGAAAAGCCUCCAAUUUGCAAUUGGGGAGGUAGCUCAAGAUCAAUGGUGUUUUAAAGUAAAAUAUUAUUAGUAAAAAAUGUGCUUUGUGUUUUGUCCCCUGCCAGUAUGCUGGCUGCUUCUGAAAACAAUGAUAUCCCAGCGUUUGCAGAAACAUAGCAGAAGGGCUAAGAGAAGUUGCUUAUAAAUGCAUUCAGUUAACUUGGUUGCCAAGGGGGUUUGUUUAUUGGCCUUUUGACUGUAUAUUUCUUGCAUGACCUGCAUUUACUAUUUUCAUGCUUUAGACCCCUCUGUUUUUGUUUUUUUUUAAUCUUUUCUGCCAUUCUCUUUAGUUGAUAAUAAGGCUCUGCAGGUAGUUGUAAAAUUUCUAUCACCUCUAAGAUCUAAAAUACUAUUUCAAAGAAACAAAACCCCUUUUAUUCUUUUUUAUUAUUCAGGUAUGAAUAAUGCAUGAUCGCUGCAGCGACUAGGGCAACAUCAACAACCAUAUCAGAUGAGCCCGUUGCUCAGACGGAGCCAGCUCUGAGAUCCCGAAACCCC